rnacentral:rRNA from 1 species
UGGGGAAUUUUGGACAAUGGGGGCAACCCUGAUCCAGCAAUGCCGCGUGUGUGAAGAAGGCCUUCGGGUUGUAAAGCACUUUUGUCCGGGAAGAAAUCGCACCUGAUAAUACCGGGUGUGGAUGACGGUACCGGAAGAAUAAGGACCGGCUAACUACGUGCCAGCAGCCGCGGUAAUACGUAGGGUCCAAGCGUUAAUCGGAAUUACUGGGCGUAAAGCGUGCGCAGGCGGUUGUGCAAGACCGAUGUGAAAUCCCCGGGCUUAACCUGGGAAUUGCAUUGGUGACUGCAAGGCUAGAGUGUGUCAGAGGGGGGUAGAAUUCCACGUGUAGCAGUGAAAUGCGUAGAGAUGUGGAGGAAUACCGAUGGCGAAGGCAGCCCCCUGGGAUAACACUGACGCUCAUGCACGAAAGCGUGGGGAGCAAACAGG